UCUGCCAGCUAGCUCUCUGCAACUCUCACAUGGUCGCCCACUGAAGCUAAGCAGGGCUGCGCCUGGUCAGUACUUGGAUGGGAGACCACAUGGGAAAGCUAUGUUGCUGCCGGAA
rnacentral:rRNA from 1 species